AGGAUAAUUUCUCAAUUUAUUUGUCAUUAAGGUCUUACCCAGAUGAAAUAAAAUGACAAGACCAGAUGGACUCCUGACGAGUGUCUGGAUGUUCAACAUCAAUCACUUUUACACCAACAAAACAUCCUAUUACACAGGGUACUGCAUUGCUUCAGAUAUUCUAACUUUUUGACCAGCGACUUUGGUAUCGGAUCCAUACAUUACACUUUUUCCUGCGGGAAAAAAAAAAAAAUUGUACAACUGCAUAAAUAUAAAACUCUUCCACCAUGAAAAUGACUAAAACAUUCAUUAGAAAGUUACACCACGUCAUGUGAUGUCUCCAGCAACAACAACAAAAAAAAAUGGUUCGUUUUAAAAGCACAGAGUCGCUGUCAGUGUUUCCAUGAAGGAGGAAGGAAGCUAGUCUCCCUGCCUGCUGCUAGAUACACAGAACACUGCUAGCUCUAGACUACAAUAGAGAGGAGGAGGAGAAGCAUUGGACAUAGAGAGAGGAGGAGGAGGAGAAGCAUUGGACAUAUAGAGGAGGAGGAGGAGAAGCAUUGAACAUAGAGAGAGGAGGAGGAGGAGGUGAAGCAUUGGACAUAGAGAGGAGGAGGAGAAGCAUUGGACAUAGAGAGAGGAGGAGGUGAAGCAUUGGACAUAUAGAGGAGGAGGAGGUGAAGCAUUGGAGGAGGAGAAGCAUUGGACAGAGAGGAGGAGGAGAAGUAUUGGACAUAGAGGAGGAGGAGAAGCAUUGGACAUAGAGAGGAGGAGGAGGAGGAGAAGCAUUGGACAUAGAGAGAGGAGGAGGAGAAGCAUUGGACAUAGAGAGAGGAGGAGGCGAAGCAUUGGACAUAGAGAGAGGAGGAGAAGCAUUGGACAUAGAGAGAGGAGGAGAAGUAUUGGACAUAUAGAGGAGGAGGAGGAGGAGAAGCAUUGGACAUAUAGAGAGGAGGAGAAGCAUUGGACAUAGAGAGAGGAGGAGGUGAAGCAUCAAACAAGACAUUUCAUUAAACCCUCUGUCCCAUAUUAAAGUUGAUCCAAAAAGAAAAAAAUAAAGUAAUGUAGAAAUAUUCUCCCACAAUCAACUCAAAAAGACACAGGAAAAAGCAUUCCAGGGAGUGCAGCCAUUUACUGACAGACUUACAGAUCAGAGCGUACCAUGCCAGUAUUUUCAGUUAGUAAGAGUAUAUUAACACAUCCACACACUCACAUUAACACACACACACACACACACCCCUUGGACCACUAAAGCUUACUGACAUAAGACAACAGAAAUUACAACAUGGCUUGGAAAGGACCACUGUAUGUCACUACUGCACUGGAUACUCCAAACGUACAUAGAAAGCACAUUAGGCAGAAUACUUAGGGGACAGACAGAAACACUGCUCGCUACAUAUCAGUAGUGGAAUUGCAAUUUACAGUAAGAGAUGAACAUGUCCCAUGGCUCAAGGACUUCUCAUUUACAGUAGAAUAAAUAUGUUGCAAUUGCUACUCUUCCUGUAAUGUACAUUCUAAACCCUAGACAUUAUGCAGGAAGCCAGUGUAGUGUACAUUCUAAACCCUAGACAUUAUGCAGGAAGCCAGUGUAGUGUACAUUCUAAACCCUAGACAUUAUGCAGGAAGCCAGUGUAGUGUACAUUCUAAACCCUAGACAUUAUGCAGGAAGCCAGUGUAAUGUACACAGAUUAACUGUAGGUCCCCGUAUAUUAUGAAAGUUUGUUCCAAGACUAGUCGUGUUUUUUUUAAUAUAACUUUUUUUUUUUUUUCUUCUCUCUAAAUCAUCUUGUUUUGAAAUGUGGGAAGAUAACAGUGUGUUUUUUUUCAUAGCUGAGGUCAUGAAUUGGCGAUAGUGAACUUAACGUCAAAGCGUCCUUGGUAGCGAUCUUUCUCGCUGUAGUCAAUGUUCGCUCCGUACACUUUGCACUCGAGACGCAGCUCCUCGUUGAAGGUGAGGUUGGUAAACUGGAUGGCCACCAGAGGUUGCAGGUAGUUUGGAUGCAGCAGCUUGCCGU
rnacentral:lncRNA from 1 species